GAUGAACGCUGGCGGCGUGCCUAAUACAUGCAAGUCGAGCGGUAAGGCCUCUUCGGAGGUACACGAGCGGCGGACGGCUGAGUAACGCGUAGGAACAUACCCCAAAGUGAGGGUUAACUGCUCGAAAGAGUAGCUAAUACCGCAUGUGAUCUAAGGAUUAAAGCUUCGGCGCUUUGGGAAUGGCCUGCGUAUGAUUAGUUUGUUGGUGAGGUAAUGGCUCACCAAGACUACGAUCAUUAGCUGGUCUGAGAGGAUGAUCAGCCAGACUGGGACUGAGACACGGCCCAGACUCCUACGGGAGGCAGCAGUAGGGAAUUUUCCACAAUGGGCGAAAGCCUGAUGGAGCAACGCCGCGUGCAGGAUGAAGGCCCUCGGGUCGUAAACUGCUUUUAUAUGUGAAGAUUAUGACGGUAGCAUAU
rnacentral:rRNA from 1 species